AGACAUACAGGUCGAGCAAGGAUGAAAAUCGGACUUAGUGAUCCGGUGGUUCUGCGUGGAAGGGCCAUGGCUCAACGGAGAAGAGCUAGCCGGGGGAUAACGGGCUGAUUGCCCCCAAGAGUCCACAGCGACGGGGAGGUUUGGCACCUCGAUGUCGGCUCAUCACAUCCUGGGGCGGUAGUAGGUCCCAAGGGUUGGGCUGUUCGCCCAUUAAAGUGGUACGCGAGCUGGGUUCAGAACGUCGUGAGACAGUUC
rnacentral:rRNA from 1 species